rnacentral:tRNA from 1 species
AAUGUAGAGCCUGAAUAAAGGAUUACCGUGAUAGGGUAAAAUAUGUAGUCCAACUACCUACAUUA